CCAGCCGGGUUGGGAGUGUGGCUCCCGGGAUUUUCACAGCAGGGAAAAGUUCCCCAGAGUUGCAUGCAGGUGCUGUUUUCGGGCARGACCUGCCCUUAUACCCGCAACUGGUGUCUGGGGCUGCAGUUCCCAGCUUGGGAAUGCAUCGUGUGCGUGUGGCUGGGGGAGAACGGCGGGGAAAUGAGGACAACAGAAAUAGUCCGGCUUGGCAGGUGGUGGGGCUUGAUAAAAUAGAGACCGGUUUGUGGGCAGCUGUACAAAGUGCUGAGUUAUUCUUGGGUUCCUUGUGUGCACGCUGAGCUUUCGAUACUUUACUGAAUAUGUUUUCCUCCUCUUAAGACAGUGUAAAAUAGCACUGGUGAGGACACCCCCAGAGCUGGGAGUGCUGAGUAAGGAGCUGGUAUGCCGAACUUAAUAGAAUAGGCAAAAUCUGUAGUAGUUAAACUUGUCUGGCUUUGCUGCAAACUGUCUGCAGAGCUCUUCAUUUGUAUAAGAAAGCAAAAAACCUGGCAGGCAGCGUUAGGAGUCCGAGGCGCUGCGAGUUAAUGAGCUCUCCUGCGGGAGCCUGAUGGCACGCUCAUUUCGGACUGGCUUGUCCUUUMAGGGAAAAAACUGCAGAGCAGUGGGCAGCCGAAGGCAAUCGGCCGCCGUGUUUUGGUUUGUUGCUUGUUUGGAUGUCGGGAGCGUUGGUGUCCCGGGAACCGUGGUGGGCGCUGCCCUGCCAGCUCUCCCUGCUGCAAACAGCUCCUAGGGCUCUGAUUCCUUAAUCUUGUAGGUGAUGCAUAUUUAAAAAAAAUAAUAAGAAUCUAUAAAAAAGGUUUUUUGUGACGAGAAGGAAGAGAACAAUAGCGUUAUUCAGUAUUUAAUUAUCAGCAGAGAUAUAAGRCUCUGGCUUACUGCAUGGAUUUCUCUCGAAUUGCUUUCUAGGGCACUCACUGACUGGAGGUUGCUCUUAAGGGGUUACAGUUGUCACGGGGGGAAUGUGAAACUUGUAAAAAGCUUGUUUGACAGAUGUUGUUGCAAAUKACUCAAAACUACUCCAGGUAUAUCGAGUGGUUUGCAGGUAAAUGUCAGUGCCAUCACAGUGAGAUUGGAGGAGUCGAUUGCAGCAACUUCAGCACCUGCUGUGGGCUUUAGAGAGAUCUCCAAAAGYUGCAGGCAGGCUCUYGGUGUUCAGGUGUGCAGCACUUUAYUGGCUGUUUCCMGGUGCACUGCCUCUUGAUUUCCAGGCUGUAACAUGUAGAGGACCCCUGUGAAUGAGAAGAUACUGUGACUUUUAUUUUUAUUUUUUCCUUAGGAACUAAUAGGUAAAUAGGUUUAUGAAUGGCACUAGAUUAUCUGUAAAUGAAAAGUUGUUGCUGAAAACUGUAAUAGUCUGUCAGAYAAAUUCUUCCUAUCCAAAAUCCCACUACCAUGGGAUGACAAUAAGGAAUAGGUAGCACCCAUUUUCAUUGUAAAUGCAGGUUGAACUAUUUUUUGUAUUAACCAACUGGUAAUUGCMCUUGCCACAUAGUUUCCUUUACUUUUCAGCCCUUGGUUUGCAUUCCUCAGCGACGCUUCCCAGUUAUUAAACACAAUUUUUUGUUAUUUAAGUGUAUUGCAGAGCUAAUGUAGCUAAACACACACAGCAGACAGUUUGUCACACACCUAUGCUAUUGUCUGUCCUUCCACUCACCUCGGCCCUGCUGCUCUGUGCCUGUUCCAGCAGUGGGACAGGCAGGAAAAAGAGAUGUGGAGUCCCCAUCUGGAUGGUGAAAGUGGCUGAGGACAACAACAGGUUAACACUGGGACAGUUGUAUCUUUUUUUCCUACAAAAAAAAGAUGUUUUUUGGUGUGACACACCUAAGGCUGUGUGUGGGGUAUGUAAAGGAUUGGACACUUGUGCYGACUUAAAUGCUUGGGAAAAGAUUUAUAGUCUGAAGGCACAAAGUAGCCUUUCAAAUAUGUGAACAAGAAGCAGAAAACUUGAAGAGCUCAAAACUAGAUUCCUUGCAUUCAUUCACUUAGUUUAUAAAACAAAGAAUAACUUCAAGYUGGUUUUUAGUAUGUUGUACUAACUGCAGAGUGAACUCUGAUCCUGUUAGUGGAAACAUCCCACUGACUCCAGCGGGUCUCUAUUCCCCCCACCGCCUUCCAGUUUCUUAAAGAAAUAAAGUCAAUUUUCCAAAUGCUGCUCCUCAUUUGCAAACAGGUGCAUUUGGUGUGUACAUGUUCURGUGAGCAAUUGCACAUUUCAAAUGAAUUUGGCAAAGCCAGGAAAGUAAUCUUGUCUAAAAUCUGCAGUUUCACAGCUUUUGUGCUCAGCGUCUCUCAUCCUGUGCCCUUCCUGACUCACAGGAAUGCCAGCUGCUYCUCUGCUCCUGUCAGAAUCAUGGGCUUCUGAACUUUGCCAUGUUGCAGCAAGGCUGUGCAAGAAAGACAAAGCCYGUAAGGGAGAAUGUAAAGUGCUUUUAAUUUUCUAGCACUUGUGCAACUCAUGUUUUGGUGGCUCUGUGUAUUUUCUGAUUGAGUUUGGAUGGUAUUAUUUUAACUAGAGGAACACCCGUGGCAUUAAUACUGGGGGGAAUUUAAUCACYCAAAUUAAAUCCCUACAGCAAAGCCAUGCCUCCUGCAUGUGGUGCAGGUCGCCCUGCAAUUCCCCACCGUCGCUUUGCAGUGGAGAGGGGAGAGCCAAAAAAAAAGACAAAUCCAAAAACAUAACUAAAAUAAGGCGCUGUGUGAGAGCCCUCGGAGGGAGCUGAGGACAAGGGAGCUGUCGGAGGGCAAGCACYGGGGAGCUGAGACGUGCUCGGACAGGCUGUGUCCACCCAGCCGGGUGAGUCAGGCCGGCCCCGCCGCCUCCGGAGCGUCUGUUUGAAGUUGUGCACACAGGACUCAGCAGACAGGCUGCAGCSCUGCUCAUCCCUUGUGAUACCAUCUUAAAGGCAGGAAUGAAUACAUCCCAGCAGCCUGCCUUUUAUCUCUCGGGAGGCACUGCGUGGAGCCCUGCAGGCUGGGUAGUAUUUCUCUCGGGAGCUGCCUGUCAUUUAGGUUCUCCUUGAAGGUUUGGGGUUCUGUGGGGUGCMGCCAGGGUAGGAGAUGAAGGAUCUCAGGACCGCACCAUAAAUUUUGUCUUCACCAUUGUGAGCCACUCCUGUGGAUGCACAGGAGGAACAGAAAGAAAGGGAAAAAAUGUUCAGGGAAUUCCCAUUUCCAGUCUUGGCACUCACAUUAAAUGCAAUGCGUCACAUUAAAAAACAUGGGCUUACACCCAUGCAUACUUAAAGUUCCUUUUUUUCAGUCUUGACAGUGCGUUGCAAGGUAAUAGCAUUUCAAAGUCUACUUGUCUCAGAGGUGUYCCUUGUUUCUCCUCCUUGGCCCUGUGCCUGGCAUGAGUUUCCCUCACUGUACCCCUUUGGAAAGCACACAGUGGUCUAAUCUCUGCUCCGUCAGGUACACUGUACCUUGGCACACGGGCAUCCUGGGAUGUUAAACYAGCAAAGCAUGUGGAUGCUCUUACAGCAGCAAAAUUACGUUCUGUAGYUGUUCAUCACAGGAAAGUUAUCACCCCUCCCUACCCCAGAGCAAAACAAGUUAUGCUAGUAAAGCUUCUUUAGCACACCUAUGUGGGUCAGGUAUCACAUCUCUCCGCCGCUCUUUUCCACAUAUUUAUGCAGGCAGGAGCCUAGAGCACAGACCUGCCUCURGAGCAGAUUUUGCUUGCAGCAGCRUGGUGAUUAUAGAGUUGGGCAGGCCAGCAUUUCCAGAUGCAACAACAUAUUUCACUUCCACAUAUGAAACAGCAGUAUUAWAACACCCGAUGCACCCUUGAAUGACCCAUUUGCCUAUACUCUCUCCUCCAUCAAGAGGGUAGAGACAGAGACAAGUUGGUUCCUYUUGUCACCCUGAUAACAGCACCAGCCAGGAAUUUUAGAGAGGGGAGAAAUUUCCUUCUGAGAGCCAACACUUUUUUUGUACUGUUAAAGAAAAUCAAUAGUACAGGAAACUUACUCCUUUCAGSAAUUUUUUUKUGUGUGUUGGCCUCUGCAAAAGUUGACAGAUUUCUUUUGCAUUCUGGACCAAGCAGUGUGAGRUUGUUCUUGCCUGUGCUUUAGGUAGCAGUUGGCAGCACCCGGACCUUACCUGCUGGAGCAGUUAAAAAUGUCACUGCUCCAAAUCAUUUGCAGGUCAGCAGUUAAAAAUCUAUUUUGAAUAGGAUUAAGAAGACAGAAACACUUCCAGAGGUGGCAAUGCUAAGUACUUCAGGCAGCACUCUAUGAAAACCUCUGUGGGUUUAGGAGAUCUUGGUUGCCUUUCUAUAUUCACUGYCAAGCAUCAUGAAAUACUUUCUGUCAAUCCCUGUACGAGCUGCUGCACAGUUGCACUGACAGUCUAGYGAUCAYGUCAUGGCUGAAAGCAGCAUUUCUGUUUGCCAGGCUGUAUUUUAAAAUGUAAACAUAUUUAUUUCAAAACCACGUUUAUUUCUCAAUUGGCAGACUCCUUAUUUUCCUGUUGCAGAGCUYGUUCAUUUGCAUUUGUGUUUGCAAGUGUUCCAACACAGCCUGGUUAAAGACAUUUGAUGCUAACUAGUCCUUAGUCCUACCCCAGAACUACAGGUGGGAGAUAGCUAAUUUAAAAAUUCUAAUAACAUAAAAGUCUCUGUAAUUCACUCAAAACUAAAAGUAAAAUUUUCUGCCAUAGUUUUAUUCAAAGCUCACUGAAUUGAAUAGAGAAGAGCUUGUCUAYAGUACUUCUAUACUAAGUUUUCAUCUUUUUUCCCCCUCUAUUUCUAUAGCAGGGAGAUGGUUAUCAGAUCCUGAGAAAAGCUAGAAACUAGGCUGUGAAAUUUUUUGUAAGUUUCCUAGAUUUCUGGGCACCUCAAAAUCAAAUCAGUAUUUUGAAAAUAUCUUUUGAGUGUGAGGUACAUUUUGAUACUUCUUCCUUUCUGUCAGAGGCACUUUAAUAACAAAAGGCUGAUUGUUGGGGGCACAAGGCUGUGUGAAAAGGGCUGACAACUGCUUAUGCUCAAUAAUUUCAUCUGAUAAAACCAUGCAAGAGGGAGUAAUGGCACGAGGAGUUCAGUAAAAGAAUGUGCAGCUGGUUUUUCUGGCUUUCCAAAAUCAGAGUGUGUGCCUGUAAUUGGUGCCAGGCAGUUGCUGCCUCCUGAUUUCCCUCAGUAUUGUGGACUCAGGAGCUGAUUCUGCCUUUUUCUUUCAACACCUUUAACCAGUCGGGUGCUGUGGAUGUGGCUGUGAGGCCAUGGGGCUCUGAUUCUGGGGCAUGGCUGUUGCUGGACAUGAGGUGGACACAGUCUCUCUCCAGGAGCUGCAGUGCAGCUACCAAACUUUGGAUUAUCCAAGGAAUGCACUGUUCAAAUUGCUGAAAACAAGGAAUUAGGAGUUUCCACCUUGCACAAAUCUGGAGCGAAAACCUGCGCCAAUGUUCUCAGUGUUUUGCCCAAGGACAGUGUUUAUUCCAUUCAUGCAGCAUGAUCCUGUUUUUAAUGAGCAGGCAGAGUCUUUGGCAGGUAAAUGGCACGGUCAUGGACAGUAUUAGCUACUGUGAAAUUGAAAUCUGUGCUUGUGUGUCCAAUGCAAACAGCAGGGCACACAUGGAGUCUAAUAUUCCCAGAGAAACCAGAGCUGACAUUUAACUGCCCCUGGGAAAAGAGGAGGAAAUUAAUACGGUGGGUAUGGGAGACAGAGGCUUGACACAGCAAGAAGAAACAAGAGGCAGAGAAGAGGUGGAUGACUGGAUGGGCACCUGCCUCAGUCAGUGCACACGAUGGGCAGAGUAAGCUCUAAGAAGGUAGAAGUGGUUCCUSGUUCAACAAACACCUUAUUGUUGCUCAGCCUCAGUGUUGCUUAGGAUGCUGYCUGUGGAACUCGUCACGAUCACAUCUUGAGUGUUUCACACUGUUUAUUUGUUUUUUGCCCCUCAGAUGUGUAUAAUUCUCACAGAAAGAAGGUGAUAAAUCAGCAAAAGCCAAAUGCUAUGUGUCUGUUGUGGCGUCUUCCACUGGCAAUGCCAAGGAGCUGUUUUUCUCAGAGAGCUUAGUGUUAYACAUUUCUUGGACUGUUCAGAGCAGAUUUCCAUUACAGUGGAAGGUUUGUCUCCCCUGCCUCCUGCACUUCAAGCACUAACACAGGAAGCCCUGYGUGUCUACAACACAUCCCUCACUUGUGCCAAUUCUUUUAGCACGACUUUUAUUGGAGCCAAGGUGGACCAAGUGGGCUCCUGAGGCUGAUGACAGCCCUGCUCUCUAAAAACAAGCCAAUGAGCCAUCAGUUCCAUACAUUCCCCAUUCCCCUGAGCUUCUUUCUACAGUGCUGCCUGGCUGCCAUGGAUGAGAUGUGAGGUUGUUCCCAAACCUGCUUCUCUCAUCCUCUUAAAUAUGUAACUCGGCUGCCAAGUCAUAGAUGURUACUUGGCAGCCGGCAAUAGCAACUGGAAACACAACAUACACAAUGCAAUUGUAUAAAAAAAUGGAAAGAGAUGGCUGGAGAGAGCAGAGCCAGAGGGGAAUUUUCAGGCUGUUUGAGAUCCUUGCUUACCUAUCCAUGGAUUGAUUGUGUUUGCUCUAAAGAGUACUUACAAGAGAAAAGAUGCAGUGUUUGGAAGGCUUUGGAAAUAAGGGAAGUUAGGGACAGGUUGUUUAUGGAAAUCUUCUUUCCCCACAUUUCAUUGUCCAUUUGUUCUUCCACAUGCUCAUGAACACCUGUGUUACUUUCAAGAGUAUUUUUCCUAGUUAGAAACUAUUGCAAAAAUGACUGAUGCCAUUUUUUAAGAGGUGGAAACACAGGAAAUAUUCCUUUUGUCUUACUGACCUGACCUGUCUAAAAGUCUUAGAUCAGGUAUUUUCAUCCUUUCAAAGUAUUGCAGCAACAUUUUCUUAGGUUGUAGCUGACCUGGUCUGCAAGGUGUGAUCCUUCCCUUGUCCCCUUUUAUUUAUCUCCACUGGCCCCUGUCUGACUUCACCAUGAACUGAUGUAAAUUGCUAACUCAAUAGAAAGAGUCUCAUUUAUUUUUGCUGGAUGACUACUUUUGACAGUUUAGGGAGCCGCCUUGCUGUGGGGUCAGAGAAGAUAAAGAAUCAACACAAAGGUGAAUGAUGGGAAAACUUUGAUGAUCAAGAAUGCUUCUUCCAUUAACAAUUGGCUGUUAGGCUGGUUUAGCUGUAAGGUGAAACCUCACCCUUGAUGGAGACUUGACUUCUAUUGGCAAAAAGUGCUUUUGUUUGCACAACUUAUCCCUAUUUUGGGUGUGAUAUAAGCAGCACCAAUCAUACUGACCCACCGGGAAGAAUGUGUGAGAUUCUCUGCUUGAAAAACCAAAUGCUACAAAAUAUCCCAAAGAUUCCAAACCUCAAAUUCAUGCCCUAAAGUGAUCUGUCUUAGUAUAUGAGAAUUAUUCCCAGGUGUAGCUUCCAAAUCUUGAGCUGAUUGAUCGCAUAAGGACCUAGGUCAUGCUACRCACUUGUGACCCGGCAGAUACAUUUUUAAAUCUUGUGAAGCCCAAAGCAAAAGCGAGUUUAACAUUGAGAGAGCUGUCACUGCCCAGAACAAAAGGACCAGGACCACCUGCCCUCACUGCUGCCGGAUCUGGGAAAAUCAGGAAAACCUCUGCAGCUCCUGACUGUCAAUGUCACAGUAAGCAUGACUGUGAAGAUGUUACUGCAUGGAAAAAUGUUUGUAUUAGAAUUUCCCUGUUUGGACUAAAAUGUUACCCAGGAAAGCUUCCUAGCAGAGCUGGGAAGGAGCAGAGYACAUUGGCCAUGUGUCCCAGUGCCCAGAGCAGGCUGCAGUGGAGUUUGUGUGCUGGGAUCUGCCGUUCCUGGGGUCAGCAGAUGGUCACCAGGAUACGGCCGUAAGCAGUGUCACCUUAUCACCAUCACUCCUGACAGUGUCCUGGCAGCUCUGUGCCAUCUGUGCUCCUCCCCACCUUUCCCUGCUCCAUCCUGUUGCUGCCGUUCCCGUUUCCCUCUGCAGCAGAUCCCAUGGGAGGGCAGAGAUCUGUCCUGCUGCCCCAGCACAGUGGCUGGGGACAGCCAUUCGCCAUUUACAUUAGUGAGAAGCAGCUGAGAUGUAUUUUGAAGACACAGGAGUGGAAUUUUUUGCUUCCUGUGAUGUGCUGGUAGGUCUUGCUAUGCUGGAUUACCACCUUUCCUAUUUUUCUUUCAUGGUUCAUAAUCCCUUGUGUGUAACAUAAAGGUGYGUGGGCCUUUUCAUCCAAGUGUGGUAAAACACGAUUCGAAAGCUGAAACUGAAGACUAGAAAAGGCAAGUUGAAAGAACCACUUUUUGUCAAAGGAUUAGAGCCAUAAUUUCCUCAURUUCAUCUCUGUGGUCUCACCACUGCAUGGGCUGUGGGCUGCUGACUUGAAAUUAUUCUGUUGUCCCAUAUCCAGCCUCUACUACUAAAUUAGAUUGAGUAAGAAUUUGUGAGAGCUUUGUGGCUGCCUGGCUGAUUGGUACGUGCCAAAAAGUCACAGGAAAGCUUAAAGUUUCACUCGGUUUAAAUUUGUAAGCASAGGGAUUUCAGCAAUAAGAGUCACUUUGCUUUAAAGGUGACCUACAAAUAAUAGUUAAGGGUUUGGAAGACUCUCUUGUUAAUUAAGAAAGGAGUAAUAGACCUCAUUUAUUUCCAGGGGAUGUUUUUGUUUGGAAUUCUUAAAAAUGUAUAGAUGCUCUAAAAUGCUGUUACUAGUACAUUUGUCCAGCAUCCCCUGAACAUUCUAUCUGGUGUUUAUUUAGAGUUCUCAGAAUAUAAGGAGCAUGGAUAAUAUAUUCCAUCUUUAAGCAAAGGUUUCCUUUCUCCUGAUCCUUAAAUUCUCCURUUACAUAAAUAUUAUUAAAAACGCCAAAAGCAUUGUGUUGUUUAAUGCCUGGUUUCAUUUGAUUUCUCAGCCUUUACUGAUUCACUGGCAAUCAAAGAACUGAUGUUCUUUAGCAAACUUCCCAUUAGUUAUUCAUAACCUGAAAGACAAAAAAGGAUAAAUGCACAUUUUUCUUUCAUUUUUAUUUCUUACACUGGCAACCUUUGAGAACUUGUGUUCAAAUAAUUCACACACAAACAACAUCUGGGGGAAAAGCAGACUGAAGAAUGAUAGAAAGUGCCCCAUAUGCACAGAAUUUGAAUUAUAAUUACUUUGCUGGGCUGAGAAUAUGAGCAUGGAUUUAUGACAUGUACUUUAUACAUUGUUCCCUUGCAGGAGAUAAAACUGACUKGAGGUGUGUGGUACUGGAAAGCUGAUACUAACACCGUUGAAUAUUCAAGAUCUGCAAACUUCACAGUGACCAUUCCACCUUCUACUUAGGAAUGAGAAAUUAGAUGAGUUCCUCACAGCCCUGCUCUUCCACCUACCUUUUCACCUGGGAAAGAUUGCCCUGGAAUGACCUGGAAAAGGAAUGCAGAUCCUUGAUUUUCCCAAACCUUUUCCCCUYGGAACCCUGAGCCUGGGGAGUUUCAGUCCCUUGGUGCCUCUUGGACUCCAGGCUGUUCCCACCACAGCCCGAGAUCCCUCUGGGAAUUCUGCUCUGUAGAUUUGCUCUCAUCAUUGGCCUCACAGUUUCAUCUCUGUAGGGCGGGCUUCACUGGAGCUCAUUUUAGUGAGUUAAAAUCCUGGAUGAGCACACCCGAAGRGACAACGGAGGAGAGAAGGAAGAAGAAGAACAAGAAUGAAUAAGGAGUGGUUUCUCUAUCAUGACCUCAGUUUUCCACCCAAAGGAAGGCUGAGCAGUUGGAGCUCUGUGCUCUGAAGAGCAAUGGCAGAAGGUGACUGCAGUCAGAGCAACUCACAGCAGCAGAGUCCGUGUUGAGUGGUUUCACUUUGCUCAGUAAAUCACUUUGAARUUGCAGCUUAGGAUGCCCAACUGCUUUGUCAGAGCUGGGGGAGUUUGACACACAAGGGACUGGGCUGGGUGACCGGAGACCUGGGCUGUAAUUCAUGGUCCUUCAUCUUAAUGCCUUUGCUGGGCCGUUUCUGAGAAGAUUAUUUUCCUGGCUGAUUUUGAGAAGUGCUUGGACGCCUGCAGAUGAAUGUGAUUAAUGAUUUCAAUGUCAAUCYUGUUUUUGUAAAGAGCAAAACAACCAGAAGACAUGAUUUUCUACAGCCAAAAAAUUGGUGACAUUUUCCUUUUGAAGGAAGCUACUCUGGAUUUUCUAAUAAAUUGUGUGUGCUUUUUUUUUUUUUAUUUUUAUUUCCAUAAUCUCCU